rnacentral:rRNA from 1 species
ACGGGUGAGUAAUGUAUCGGAACGUGCCCAGUCGUGGGGGAUAACGUAGCGAAAGUUACGCUAAUACCGCAUACGAUCUAAGGAUGAAAGCGGGGGAUCGCAAGACCUCGCGCGAUUGGAGCGGCCGAUAUCAGAUUAGGUAGUUGGUGAGGUAAAGGCUCACCAAGCCGACGAUCUGUAGCUGGUCUGAGAGGACGACCAGCCACACUGGGACUGAGACACGGCCCAGACUCCUACGGGAGGCAGCAGUGGGGAAUUUUGGACAAUGGACGCAAGUCUGAUCCAGCCAUUCCGCGUGCAGGAUGAAGGCCUUCGGGUUGUAAACUGCUUUUGUACGGAACGAAAAGGCUCUGGUUAAUACCCGGGGCUCAUGACGGUACCGUAAGAAUAAGCACCGGCUAACUACGUGCCAGCAGCCGCGGUAAUACGUAGGGUGCAAGCGUUAAUCGGAAUUACUGGGCGUAAAGCGUGCGCAGGCGGUUUUGUAAGACAGAGGUGAAAUCCCCGGGCUCAACCUGGGAACUGCCUUUGUGACUGCAAAGCUAGAGUACGGCAGAGGGGGAUGGAAUUCCGCGUGUAGCAGUGAAAUGC